rnacentral:lncRNA from 1 species
GUGAUAGACACAGUACCUGGACCGGGCAGAGGAGUGGAAUCCAAAGAUAAAGUUAGGAGAACGUACUUCAAGGGGAAAUUUGUCCUUUCACUUGUGGUAUCAUAGUCUUUCAUGGAUCCCAUGCUGUUGUCUGUUUAUUUCUCCUUAAACAAGGAAAAAUAUACCCAGACCCAGUUUUCAUCAACAGACCAGCCCAUGGCAACCAUCACUCUACUUUCUGUCUCUAUGAAUUUGAAUACUCUGGGUAACCUCAUUCUGGGAUGAUAUGAAACCUUGCAGACGACAUGCAUGGAUCAACUCAUGAGACAGUAAAUCACUCAAAAUCUUACUACAAAAGACAACGUCCUUAUUUGCUUUUACAGAAAAAGACCACUACGGGCAACUCUCCAUCUAUCCCUCCUGAUUCCUUUAUGGACAACUCUCCAUCUAUUCCACCUGAUUCCUCUAUGGACAACUCUCCAUCUAUUCCGCCUGAUUCCUCCAUGGGCAACUGUCCAUGUAUUCCACCUGACUCCCAGCUAGGCUGCAUCCUCCACCAUUGGAAUCAAUUUGACCCUGACAACCUAAAAAGAAAACUGUGAUGAUUAAUACUGAGUGUCAACUUGAUUGGAUAGAAGGAUGCAAAGUAUUGAUCCUGGAUGUGUCUGUGAGGGUAUUGCCAAAGGAGAUUAACAUUUGAGUCAGUGGGCUGGGAAAGGCAGACCCACUCUUAAUCUGGGUGGGCACCAUCUAAUUAGCUGCCAGCAUGGCUAGAAUAUAAAGCAGGCAGAAAAACAUGAAAAAACUAGAUUGGCCUAGCCUCCCGGCAUACAUCUUUCUCCUGUGCUGGAUGAUUCCUGCCUUUGAACAUCGGACUCCAAGUUCUUCAGUUUUGGGACUCACACUGGCUUUCCUUGUUCUUCAGCUUGCAGACAGUCUAUUGUGGGAUGUGGUGAUCGUGUGAGUUAAUACUACUUAAUAAACUCAUACGUAUAAUAUAU